rnacentral:lncRNA from 1 species
CGCGCAUCCCCACAUUGCCUGCCAGGCUCUGGGUACUACCUGCGCGGGAUCUGUGCCAGCCGGCCACAGCAGAGCCAACCGCAGCCAGACGCAGCACUGUUGUCAACAGCUGCACUACUUGUCAUGCCGCUACGCAUGCCCUGCCAGCCCCACCGCGGACCGCUACCUAGACACCACCGGCUCCUCAGCCUGCGCGCUUGCGCCGCUUCUUGGGCUGCGCUGCGCUCUCCUCCUCCACGUGGCCUUUCCCGCCCCCUCCGCUACCAAGAUGCGCGCACGCGCCCCCGCUGCUGCUGCCGCCGCCGCCGCCGCUGCCGCCGCCGCCGCCGCCACUGCUGCCGCUGCUGCCGCCACUGCUGCCGCCGCCGCCGCCAGUCUGCAGCGAUGCAGGUCGCUUGUGCCCCAGCAGCAUCUCCACCAGCGCGUGCCGGAUGUU